rnacentral:rRNA from 1 species
AUGGUUAUAGUCAGUUCAAAGAAAAUCUUAGGCAUGAAAUGGGAAUCAUUUUCCAUCCUAAUUUGUACUCGUUUCGGUUGUGAUAAACAUCAAAUGCUUAUCCGUCAGUUCUAUGCUAUCAAGCAGACAUCUAGUGUAGCAUAUUUUAUAUACAGAUUCGAAGUGCUAAUGAAUCAUUUGAUUUCAUACUCUGAAGAUACUCACCCUUAUUUUUUCCUGAUGAGAUAUGUGGAGGGUUUGCGGCAUGAUGUCCAUGAUGUGGUGAUGGUUCAGCGACCACCGAAUCUAUACACAACGUGCUCAUUGGCUUUGCUGCAGGAGGAGGUGGGGGACGGUAAGAAAAUAUCACCAGCAGACGUGUUUCAUUACUGCCCGACGACAAUACCAACACGCCUUCCUAUGACGCCACUCCAUACAACCACUGAGUGA